AAUGAACGUUGGCGGCGUGGAUUAGGCAUGCAAGUCGAACGGGCGUAGCAAUACGCCAGUGGCGGAAGGGUGAGUAAGGCGACGGCAACCAACCCCGAGGAUGGGUAUAGCCGCGGGAAACUGCGGGUAAUCCCCAGCGAUGCGAGGGCGUCGGCAUCGACGCUUCGCCAAAUGGAUUCGUCCGCCUCGGGACGGGCCGUCGUGGUAUUAGGUAGUUGGCGGGGUAGCGGCCCACCAAGCCUUCGAUGCCUACCGGGCGUGCGAGCGUGGCCCGGCACACUGGGACUGAGACACUGCCCAGACUCCUACGGGAGGCUGCAGUCGAGAAUCUUCGGCAAUGGGCGCAAGCCUGACCGAGCGACGCCGCGUGGAGGACGAAGGCCUUCGGGUUGUAAACUCCUGUCGAGGGGGAGAAAGGUCCGCAAGGGCUUGAUCGAUCCCUGGAGGAAGCACGGGCUAAGUUCGUGCCAGCAGCCGCGGUAACAC
rnacentral:rRNA from 1 species